rnacentral:rRNA from 1 species
UACGGGGGGCAAGCGUUGUUCGGAAUUACUGGGCGUAAAGGGCUCGUAGGCGGCCAACUAAGUCGGAUGUGAAAUCCCCAGGCUCAACUUGGGAACUGCAUCCGAUACUGGAUGGCUUGAAUUCGGGAGAGGAUGCAGAAUUCCAGGUGUAGCGGUGAAAUGCGUAGAUAUCUGGAGGAAUACCGGUGGCGAAGGCGGGCACUCG